UUGUCUUCAACAUUCUUCAACCAUAACCAUAGAUAUCUUCCAAAAGCUAGUAUGAAUAGCAUUUAUCUUUCAUAAAAGAGUAAAAGAAGUAGGUAAGGGGAGGAGUACAAUAAUAAAGAACAAGUAAUGAGACUUAGAUUAUUAAGACAAAAAUUACAAUUCAUUAAGAACCUCAUAUAAUUUGGGCCCACAUAUUACAACACCAGCAAGAAGUUAGAAAUCACAGUCCAAUCUAUACAAAUACAACACUGCAUAAGCUCAACUAAAGAGCUCUCUAAAACAGUUUUUUUUUUCUUUCUUCUUCUUUAAAUAGCUCAACUUAUUGAACAAUUAAAUUGGACUCCCACAGUAAUUAUUGUUUAAUCUUUAUACUUUUGGUUGUUUAUUUAUUAAAACACAGAAAGCAACUUAUCGUACGAGGUGUGAAUACAGGAGGUACUAGCCCUCUUUGAUUUUAGGAGUUUAUGCUUCAUAAAUCAUGAAGGAAACGAUGCCUCUGUAGGAUUAAACGGUGCAAAGAGAAUGAGCUAUUUGCCUCACAAUGUGAAAGUGAAGACCAUCUAAACAGGUGAAACCAAUCAAAGUUUACAAACGCCCCCUUUGCAUUAUAUUCAUUUCUUUCAAGUCACUACAUAGGCAAAAAGAAGAUUGCUAUCCAUGCAUGGUCUGUCGCUUGUACUUGGAAAUAAUAUACUAUUGCAGAUGAACAAUCAGAUUUUUACCUCUCUAUUGAUAAACUAACAGCACUAUAUACAUGAUACCUAGAUAGUUCCCAAAGAAUAAGUUCAGAUAACAAUGAUGUAUAACAUCAGCCCCAAAAAAUGUUAUUACACAACCAUCAGCCACAUAACCAUAACCAUAAACUACACAAUCAUAACAAAAAAUAGUCCACAAUGAUGGAUAACAUCAGCCCCAAAAAAUGUUAUUACCAGCUAUUACUAAAAAAUAGUCCACAAUGACCACAAGUUAUCAAAAACUACACAUCAGCCAUAACCAUAACCAUAAACUACACAACCAUAACAAAAGGCAGUCCACAAUGAUGCAUAACAUCAGCCCCAAAAAAUGCUAUUACCAGCUAUUACCAAAAAACAGUCCACAGUGACCACAAGUUACCCAAAAAUAGGUCACAUCAACCCCAAAAAAUGCUAUUAUCAAAAACAGUCCACAAUGAUGCAUAACAUCAGCCCCAAAAUCAAUAAGUUAAAGGAUCAGAAUAGCAACAGUUCACAUUAGUAUUGUAAUUCAAUUAUUCAUAUGAGAAGGAUGCAUUACCAGCUAUUACUACCAGAUGCAUUUCCAUUGCCCUGGUUCUUGGACUGCAAUUUUGCUCGUAAAGCCUUAAGGAGUUCCUGCAUUUCAAGCUGCUGGUUUUGCAUUUUAGCUUGUUGAUUCUCAAGCCUUUGCAUCAGCUGCUGUUGAGAUUGGACUUGAACUUCCAAUUCAACUGAUCAUUUCUCAGCUUGUUCUGCCCUUUUCUUGAAUUCU
rnacentral:lncRNA from 1 species